AAGGAGCACCACGAAAAACACUCCGCAUCCGGUGGGGUGUGAGCCGUGAGGGAGCCCGUGCCUGUAGUGGGUGUGGGUUGGGUGCGCGACAACAAAUGGGAAAAAUCGCUGGGCACACUAUUGGGCUUUGAGGCAACACCUGGUUUGUUUUGGGUGGUGUCGCUCCAUCUUGGUGGUGGGGUGUGGUGUUUGAGUUGUGGAUAGUGGUUGCGAGCAUCUAAGCAAAAGCUGUUGUUUGACGGUUUUUGUCGAGUGUUGUG
rnacentral:misc_RNA from 1 species